rnacentral:rRNA from 1 species
UUUCAAGUUACAAAGAGCCAACGGUGGAUGCCUUGGCGCCAGGUGCCGAUGAAGGACGUGGGUGGCUGCGAAAAGCCACGGGGAGCUGUCUACCAAGCUUUGAUCCGUGGAUCUCCGAAUGGGGAAACCCGGCUGGGGUAAUGCCCAGUCACUCCUGCCUGAACACAUAGGGCAGCGAGAGGGAACCGGGGGAAUUGAAACAUCUCAGUACCCCGAGGAAGAGAAAACAACCGUGACUCCCUGAGUAGCGGCGAGCGAAACGGGAAGAGCCUAAACCGUUGCAGUGGUACAGCCUGCCGGCGAUGCUGCAGCGGGGUCGUGGGACCCGCUUGGAAGUUCGGCAGAACUUCCGAAGAGUUACCAAGUUGAUUGCUAGUGGAAGCGGUCUGGAAAGCCGCGCCAUAGACGGUAAUAGCCCCGUACGCGAAAGCAAUCAGCCUCUUGGCGGUGUUCCCGAGUAACGCCGGAUCCGGGAAAGCCGGCGUGAAUCUGCGAGGACCACCUCGUAAGGCUAAGUACAAACUGGCGACCGAUAGCGCACGAGUACCGUGAGGGAAGGGUGAAAAGAACCCCGGGAGGGGAGUGAAAUAGAACCUGAAACCGUUGGCUUACAAGCAGUCAGAGCGUCGUCAUAGGCUUCGGCCUAUGGCCGUGAUGGCGUGCCUUUUGAAGAAUGAGCCGGCGAGUUACGGUAUGUGGCGAGGUUAACCCGAGAGGGGGAGCCGGAGCGAAAGCGAGUCUGAAUAGGGCGUAUAGUCGCAUGCUGUAGACCCGAAGCCGAGUGAUCUAUCCAUGGGCAGGCUGAAGCGAAGGUAAGACUUCGUGGAGGGCCGAACCCACCAAGGUUGAAAACUUGGGGGAUGACCUGUGGAUAGGGGUGAAAGGCCAAGCAAACUCGGUGAUAGCUGGUUCUCCCCGAAAUGCAUUUAGGUGCAGCGUCGCGUGUUCAGUACCGGAGGUAGAGCACUGGAUGGCCUAGGGGGCCUACAAGCUUACUGAAGUCAGCCAAACUCCGAAUGCCGGUACUCCAAAACGCGGCAGUGAGACCAUGGGGGAUAAGCUUCAUGGUCGAGAGGGAAACAGCCCAGAACGCCAGCUAAGGCCCCAAAUUCUGUGCUCAGUGGCAAAGGAUGUGAGAUUGCCGGGACAGCCAGGAGGUUGGCUUAGAAGCAGCCACCCUUAAAAGAGUGCGUAAUAGCUCACUGGUCGAGUGAUCUCGCGCCGACAAUGUAACGGGGCUCAAGCACAGAGCCGAAGCUGCGUCAUAUGCGCUUUUGCGUAGAUGGGUAGGGGAGCGUCGAUCUCUGCAGUGAAGCGGCCGCGUGAGCGGUCGUGGAGCGUGGUCGAGUGCGAAUGCCGGCAUGAGUAGCGAAAGAGGGGGGAGGAACCCCUCCGCCGAAUGCCCAAGGGUUCCUGGGGAAGGCUCAUCCGCCCAGGGUUAGUCGGGAGCUAAGGCGAGGCCGAAAGGCGUAGUCGAUGCACAACUGGUUGAUAUUCCAGUACCACCGUGUCCGCGCCCAACCCUACGGGGACUGCUAAGGGGCUGCCUUCGGGCGAACCGACCCGUUCUCUGAUGGGUAGCAAUGGGGUGACGCAGGAAGGUAGCUCAACCCGGGCGUUGGUUGUCCCGGGGUAAGCAUGUAGGGGGUCCGAUAGGUAAAUCCGUCGGGCACAACUCCGAGAUGCGAUGCCGAGCCGUUUUAGGCGAAGUGAGUGAUCCUACGCUGUCGAGAAAAACCUCUAGCGAGUUGGCACGGUGCCCGUACCCCAAACCGACGCAGGUGGGCAAGUAGAGAAUACUAAGGCGAUCGGGAGAACUCUGGUUAAGGAACUCGGCAAACUGCCCCCGUAACUUCGGAAGAAGGGGGGCCUCAGUAGGGUGAAGGACUUCGCGUCCGGAGCUCGAGGAGGCCGCAGAGACCAGGGCCAAGCGACUGUUUACUAAAAACACAGGUGCGUGCGAAGUCGUAAGACGAUGUAUACGCACUGACGCCUGCCCGGUGCCGGAAGGUUACGGGGAUGGGUUAGCUCCUUCGGGGGCGAAGCUCUGAACCUAAGCCCCGGUAAACGGCGGCCGUAACUAUAACGGUCCUAAGGUAGCGAAAUUCCUUGUCGGGUAGAACAAACUGCCCUGCACGGGGGUGACCCCGUGUGCACACCCGCUCAUAACGGCGAAACCCUCCCCGGCCGCAGGUGGCCGGCGGGCAAUGCCGUGGGAAGUCCUCUGCCGCGUUCGCGGUAUGACCCCGUAACGACUGAUCCCUUCGGGGUGAGGCUCCGGACACUGUCACACCGGUUCGUACGAUCCGGUGGUGGCAAAUCUACGGACGGAGCAAUACGCGGGCUCUCGGCAAGGGUUGACGGAUCUUCCGUCGUACAUCUCCGGAUACGUUGACGGAGAGGGAUGUUUCACGGUCUCGAUCUCACCCCGCCCAACGCUACGCGUCCGGUGGGAAGUCAGGCCGAGCUUGUCGGUCAGCCAAAAUGGCGACCGCGAUGAAGUCCUGCUGGACCUCCAGCGGCACUUCGGAUGCGGCACGUUGCGGCCCGAUCGGAGCGACAAGACGGUGAAGUGGGAGGUGCGAAGCCUGCCGCUUCUCGUCGACCGAAUAGUCCCGCACUUCCAUGCGUAUCCACUCCGCUCGGGGAAGAGCGACGACUUCGAGCUCUUCGCCUCAGUCUGUGAGGCGAUGACUCUUCGUCGUCAUCUCGAACCCGAGGGCCUCAGUGAGAUCGUGCGAUGGGCCGGUGCAAUGAACCCAAGCGGUAAGCGCGGUAUGCACCGGAGUCGAUUCUGAAGUCCCUGCACGAGAUGAAGGCAUAGUCUGUCCCCCUAGUAAUAGGGGAAAUCGACGAAGUUCCGACCUGCACGAAUGGCGUAACGACUUGGCUACUGUCUCAACCAGAGACCCGGCGAAAUUGCACGACGAGUAAAGAUGCUCGUUUCCCGCGGAAGGACGGAAAGACCCCGUGGACCUUUACUGCAACUUGGUAUUGGGUUUCGAUAUGCGUUGUGUAGGAUAGGUGGGAGACUUGGAAGCUGGGGCGCCAGCCUCGGUGGAGUCAACCUUGAAAUACCACCCUGCGUAUAUUGGGGCUCUAACCCGGGCCCGUGAUCCGGGUCGGGGACAGUGACAGGUGGGCAGUUUGACUGGGGCGGUCGCCUCCCAAAGAGUAACGGAGGCGCCCAAAGGUUCCCUCAGCCUGGUUGGCCAUCAGGCGUCGAGUGCAAAGACACAAGGGAGCUUGACUGCGAGACCAACAAGUCGAGCAGGUGCGAA